UGAAACUUGCAAGAACGGGCCUUG
rnacentral:miRNA from 10 species